AUUCCAAUUCCGGGGCUCUGCAGGGCAGCCGCAGCUCAAAGCUGCUGCUUCAGACGCGCACCACGCUCAGCGGAGGUGGUGUGAGCUGAGAGAGCCGCCUUGGGGCCGUGGAACUGCGUCCCCUGCGUGGCGUCAUGUUCCCGGCCACGGACACCUUCCACCAGCCCAGGGACAUCCAAACAGGACCUACAACCACCACAGCUGGCAACAGAGCAGAGGAGGUCACGAGGAGGGACCUGUUGACUCCUUGGAGGAAAUAUGAAUUUUCCGAGCUAUGAAGACACUGGUGACCACUUUCAUUCUCUUGCUUAAGACCUGUGGUACCUGUGGCACCUGUGGUACCUGUGGCUGGACUCUUGAGGAUAUGGAUGCACUGUCCCAGAGUGAUGCACAGGUUCCUGUCAUUUCUCACAGGGCUGGGAAUCAAAGCCUUGCUCUAGAGUUGUAUCAAAGCCUUUCAGUUCUCUCACCUGCGUGUUGUUUCUUCAUUGUUUGGACCAGAUAAUCCACCACCGUUAAAGCCACAACCCUUUCUUGUACUUGCUGAACUACAAAGCCCCACGUGCUUUAUGGUCAGAGUCUGCUGAGCCACAGAACUCCUGACACCUUUUAACUUCAUGGAAAAUCAAGGAGAAUGUAGAUUAUAAAAAAAAAAAAAUUAAAGAAAAGGAGAUAUAGGCCAGUUAGUCAGGGCAGCAGGACAAUGCAAACUGUUUUUUCCAAUGAUUGAUUGGAAGAGCUCCAAUUAGGAUUAUGAUUGAUUAAACACACUGAUUAAAAUCAAACACCGAUUGAUUAAAAAACUCCAAUUAAUACAGUGA